UUGGGGACUUUAAUAAUUUUCUUAUCUUUCUUAUUUUCAUUUUUAAUUUUGGAAAUCACCAUUGCUAAAGCUUAGUUUGAACUUGAUUACUUUACUGAGUUUGAAUGAAAUAAAAGGAGGCUAGAAGAGAAGACGACGAACAUUUUUUGUCGUUGGAGUUCUCAAAUGUUGUAGACUUGUAGUCAUAUUUUGAUAUGUUCAUCAAGGUAGAUCAUAAUCA
rnacentral:lncRNA from 1 species